ensembl:lncRNA
AGGGUCUCUGUCCCCAGAGACUGUAAAUGUCAGGAAUGAAUCUGUGAAACACUGAGAUUUAGCAGGACUUUCAGUUUACACAUGUAAUCUCUUAAAUUGAUUCCCCAAAUUAUUUCCCCCCUAAACUUUCUUCCACCUUAUGUUGGGGCCAUUCGAAAAAAGCCCUAGAAAAGCCAGUGGUGCUUUCCAGUCUGAAUCCGACAGCCUGAGAACUGGGAUGUUAAUAAUGUAAAUUCCAGCCUGAGAGCAGAAGACAAAAUGAGAUGUCUCACUCCAGAGAUGAAAAGAAAACAGAGAGUCCACUUGGGUAACUCGUCCAGCCUUACAGCUGAUGAUUGUAAAGCCUGAUGUCAAAGGAGCUCUGAGGCUGCCAAAGCUGCUGCCUUCCCGCUGUGCUGUGCUUGCGUUUCAUCAUCUCUCCCUGGUUUUGCCACCUUCUGCCUUCAUGUAUUUGAAAGACAAAAACGUUGACUGAUAAAUGCUUUGACAUUGAUCAUUUCAUCUUCUCCUGAGAAAUACAGAGCCUCCUGUCAAGUUUUUUUUUUUUUUUCUUUUUUACCCUUGUUCUACGAGGAUGUUAAAAU